rnacentral:rRNA from 1 species
GCAUAUCAAUAAGCGGAGGAAAAGAAACUAACAAGGAUUCCCCUAGUAGCGGCGAGCGAACCGGGAUGAGCUCAAAUUUGUAAUCUGGCGUCCUCCGGGCGUCCGAGUUGUAAUCUAUAGAAGCGUCUUCCGUGCCGGACCGCGUCCAAGUCCCUUGGAACAGGGCGUCAAAGAGGGUGACAAUCCCGUGCUUGAUGCGACGACCGGUGCACUGUGAUACGCUCUCUACGAGUCGAGUUGUUUGGGAAUGCAGCUCAAAGUGGGUGGUAAAUUCCAUCUAAAGCUAAAUAUUGGCGAGAGACCGAUAGCGAACAAGUACCGUGAGGGAAAGAUGAAAAGCACUUUGGAAAGAGAGUUAAACAGUAUGUGAAAUUGUUGAAGGG